GUGAGGAAUAUUGGUCAAUGGGCGGGAGCCUGAACCAGCCAAGUCGCGUGAAGGAAGAAGGAUCUAUGGUUCGUAAACUUCUUUUGCAGGGGAAUAAAGUGCAGGACGUGUCCUGUUUUGUAUGUACCCUGAGAAUAAGGAUCGGCUAACUCCGUGCCAGCAGCCGCGGUAAUACGGAGGAUCCGAGCGUUAUCCGGAUUUAUUGGGUUUAAAGGGUGCGUAGGUGGUUUGAUAAGUCAGCGGUGAAAGUUUGCAGAUUAAGUGUAAAAAUGCCGUUGAAACUGUCGGACUUGAGUGUAAAUGAGGUAGGCGGAAUGCGUGGUGUAGCGGUGAAAUGCAUAGAUAUCACGCAGAACUCCGAUUGCGAAGGCAGCUUACUAAGCUACAACUGACACUGAAGCACGAAAGCGUGGGGAUCAAACAGGAUUAGAAACCCGGGUAGUCC
rnacentral:rRNA from 1 species